rnacentral:lncRNA from 1 species
GUGUGUUUUCAAUUUGGACAUCUCCGAACUUCGUAUAUAUGUUACAGAUGCUGUCAACCAGUACCAGUUGUGGGCGGAGCUGUCCUUGGCUACACGGGGGCAAACCUCAUUAUUACUCCUGGUAUCAAACUGGAAAAUGAUAACCUCUAGACACUGGAGUCAAUUUACAGGCCUUCUGAGCCCUUGGCUGGUCUCUGAAACUUUCUUUGACAUCUUCUGAUACACCCAAACUUCCAGAAUAGGCGUUUCUUCCUCCCUGCUUUCAAGCAAGUAGAGACUGUUCCAUCCUGAUUACAAGAGCAUCCAGCUUGACCCUGCUGAUCCUGAGUCAGCACUCUGCACUGCUCUGCUCUUUCCACACCAAAACUCUCUGUCUGGUCUCCACAUCCAGCGACAGUGCUGAACUUUUGCUUCAUACAACGUUUCGAGUAAGUAAAAGCACCCAUUACAUAGUUGGCACUCGCAUAUUUGCACCUUUUCUUUCAUAUGAGAUCCAAGGUUUCAUUUGUAGACUCUUUGUGCCCUCUCUCCAUGAUAUUUCAUACUGUCGACGUCCAGCUGGUUGAAUUUCUCUUCAGGUUUUCCGUGUUAUCUCUCUUAUAGAUUUCUGUGUUACUCUAACAUUCGUUUCCAUUACCAAGAUAACACUACAGGGCUGUCUUUUUGACCAUACAGGUGGACCUUGUUUUGUAGCGAUUUGCUUUGUUGUGCCUCUCAGGUAUUUUGUUUUUGACAAGUUAAAGGUUUCGGGCAACUAUGCAUUGGGCACAUCUAUUGGCACCGCUUUUCCGAGAGUGUUUGCUUACUUCGUGUCUCUGUGUCUCAUUUUGGUAACUCUCAAGGUAUUUUA